rnacentral:rRNA from 1 species
UACAGAGGUGGCAAGCGUUGUUCGGAUUUACUGGGCGUAAAGGGUGCGUAGGCGGUUCUGUAUGUCGGGUGUGAAAUCCCACGGAUCAUCCGUGGAACUGCAUUCGAAACUACAGGGCUUGAGUACAGGAGAGGAAGGUGGAAUUCUCGGUGUAGCGGUGAAAUGCGUUGAUAUCGAGAGGAACGCCGGAGGCGAAGGCGACCUUCUGGACUGUAACUGACGCUGAGGCACGAAAGCUAGGGGAGCAAACAGG